rnacentral:rRNA from 1 species
AACGAACGCUGGCGGCAUGCCUAACACAUGCAAGUCGAACGAGACCUUCGGGUCUAGUGGCGCACGGGUGCGUAACGCGUGGGAACCUGCCCUUAGGUUCGGAAUAACUCCCCGAAAGGGGUGCUAAUACCGGAUAAUGUCUUCGGCCCAAAGAUUUAUCGCCUUUGGAUGGGCCCGCGUUGGAUUAGCUAGUUGGUAGGGUAAAAGCCUACCAAGGCGACGAUCCAUAGCUGGUCUGAGAGGAUGAUCAGCCACACUGGGACUGAGACACGGCCCAGACUCCUACGGGAGGCAGCAGUGGGGAAUAUUGGACGAUGGGCGAAAGCCUGAUCCAGCAAUGCCGCGUGAGUGAUGAAGGCCUUAGGGUUGUAAAGCUCUUUUACCCGGGAUGAUAAUGACAGUACCGGGAGAAUAAGCUCCGGCUAACUCCGUG